rnacentral:rRNA from 1 species
UACGGAGGAUCCAAGCGUUAUCCGGAAUCAUUGGGUUUAAAGGGUCCGUAGGUGGAUAAUUAAGUCAGGGGUGAAAGUCUGCAGCUCAACUGUAGAAUUGCCUUUGAUACUGGUUAUCUUGAAUUAUUGUGAAGUGGUUAGAAUAUGUAGUGUAGCGGUGAAAUGCAUAGAUAUUACAUAGAAUACCGAUUGCGAAGGCAGAUCACUAAUAAGUCAUUGACGCGGAUGGACGAAAGCGUAGGUAGCGAACAGG